rnacentral:rRNA from 1 species
CUACGUGCCAGCAGCCGCGGUAAUACGUAGGGUGCGAGCGUUAAUCGGAAUUACUGGGCGUAAAGCGAGCGCAGACGGUUACUUAAGCAGGAUGUGAAAUCCCCGGGCUCAACCUGGGAACUGCGUUCUGAACUGGGUGACUAGAGUGUGUCAGAGGGAGGUAGAAUUCCACGUGUAGCAGUGAAAUGCGUAGAGAUGUGGAGGAAUACCGAUGGCGAAGGCAGCCUCCUGGGAUAACACUGACGUUCAUGCUCGAAAGCGUGGGUAGCAAACAGGAUUAGAUACCCUGGUAGUCCACGCCCUAAACGAUGUCAAUUAGCUGUUGGGCAACUUAAUUGCUUAGUAGCGUAGCUAACGCGUGAAAUUGACCGCCUGGGGAGUACGGUCGCAAGAUUAAAACUCAAAGGAAUUGACGGGGACCCGCACAAGCGGUGGAUGAUGUGGAUUAAUUCGAUGCAACGCGAAGAACCUUACCUGG